CCUACGGGUGGCAGCAGUGGGGAAUAUUGGACAAUGGGGGGAACCCUGAUCCAGCGACGCCGCGUGAGUGAAGAAGUAUUUCGGUAUGUAAAGCUCUAUCAGCAGGGAAGAAAGAAAUGACGGGACCUGACUAAGAAGCCCCGGCUAACUGCGUGCAAGCAGCCGCGGUUAUACGUAGGGGGCAAGCGGUAUCCGGAUAUACUGGGUGUAAAGGGAGCGUAGAGGGCGAUGCAAGUCUGAAGUGAAAGGCGGGGGCCGAACCCCCGGACUGGGUUGGAAACUGUAUGGCUGGAGUGCAGGAGAGGUAAGUGGAAUUCCUAGUGUAGCGGUGCAAUGCGUAGAUAUUAGGAGGAACACCAGUGGCGAAGGCGGCUUACUGGACUGUAACUGACGUUGAGGCUCGGAAGCGUGGGGAGCAAACAGGAUUAGAUACCCCUGUAGUC
rnacentral:rRNA from 1 species